AUUGAACGCUGGCGGCAGGCCUAACACAUGCAAGUCGAGCGGAUGAAGGGAGCUGGCUCCUGGAUUCAGCGGCGGACGGGUGAGUAAUGCCUAGGAAUCUGCCUGGUAGUGGGGGAUAACGUCCGGAAACGGGCGCUAAUACCGCAUACGUCCUGAGGGAGAAAGUGGGGGAUCUUCGGACCUCACGCUAUCAGAUGAGCCUAGGUCGGAUUAGCUAGUUGGUGGGGUAAAGGCCUACCAAGGCGACGAUCCGUAACUGGUCUGAGAGGAUGAUCAGUCACACUGGAACUGAGACACGGUCCAGACUCCUACGGGAGGCAGCAGUGGGGAAUAUUGGACAAUGGGCGAAAGCCUGAUCCAGCCAUGCCGCGUGUGUGAAGAAGGUCUUCGGAUUGUAAAGCACUUUAAGUUGGGAGGAAGGGCAGUAAGUUAAUACCUCGCUGUUUUGACGUUACCAACAGAAUAAGCACCGGCUAACUUCGUG
rnacentral:rRNA from 1 species